UACGUAGGUGGCAAGCGUUGUCCGGAAUUAUUGGGCGUAAAGGGUGCGUAGGUGGCUCUUUAAGUGGGAUGUGAAAGCCCUUGGCUUAACCAAGGAUGUGCAUUCCAAACUGGAGAGCUAGAGUGCAGGAGAGGAAAGUGGAAUUCCUAGUGUAGCGGUGAAAUGCGUAGAGAUUAGGAGGAACACCAGUGGCGAAGGCGACUUUCUGGACUGUAACUGACACUGAGGCACGAAAGCGUGGGUAGCAAACAGG
rnacentral:rRNA from 1 species